AUAAGAUUAAAAAGACUGACAAAAGACAAUCUUCAAACGAGCAACAAAUCUCAGUAGGCAGUCAGUAGUCUAAUGUGCACAUAUCUGAUUAUCAAUUAGCCAGUUCUUAAGCUGACCAGUAAAAGAACGAUAAGUAUUUGCUUCUCUUAUCAGCAUUGGCAAUAGAUUCCAUUGUUUAGAUGCUGUUAAAGAGAACGCUGACUGACUAAAAGCACUUUUCCGAGUGGGAAAAUAUUGGCAUUCAUAUAUAUCAUAGCAGUUUCAAAGCUGAGUGAUUCCCUAACAAAUCUGAAAUUACUUAAAUUAAAUCUAACUCGUUUGCACAUACUUUUCACAUGAGUUCUAAAAGAGAGAUACUUGAGCAAAGCAACCAAACUUUGACAGUUUAAUUGUAUGAAAAACCUGAAGAUACAAAACAAAAACGUUUGGGAAGCAGUUAGAAGGCACAUGGACUUGUCAUCGACUUGUCAUUACAUCUCUGUAAAAACCUACGUAAGCCUAGGGAUUCUUCAAACAGACAGCUGCAUAGCAUCAAGCUGUUGUACAAAGAAGGCUCCUACUGUGUGGUUCAAAACCAACAUCCAUCACAUGGCUGAACACAGUUUUGUACGUGUGCUUGUGAUUAAGUACAUGGUCCCAUCUGUGAAUCUGUUGUUGCAGUGGCUUCUACAAAGAUAAUGAUAAAACCAUUUAGUAUUUUAGUAGGUUGCCUCUAGCAAGGUGGUUAAAAAGCAAAUAAAAUAAUGCCUCAGAGGAAAAAUGAAUCCUCAAACAGUGGAGAUGAAACAAAGGUAUCCAGUUGAACAAAAAUAUCCACAAACAAAUGAGAGACCCAUCUACGUAUGUGGAUUCAUGAAAACAGACAGCCUCAUUCAUUUGAAAGAUGCUUCACUGUCACGAAAUACAAAAAAUGCUAGUGUACCAAAAAUAAAUAGUGUGACAGCAACAGCAAGGAGUUCAAAGGUGUAAUAAUAAGAACACUUAAAUGUGAAGUAACCAGUGAAGACGCAGUUUGUGGCAGAUGUGGAAAACUACUGAUCUAAGUGGGCAGCAACAAUAGGGGAUGAGUCAGUGUCUACACACAAACCUAACCCUUGUUUCAUGAGCAAUGCCAUCACUAGUAAACUUACCAAUCCACUCGUCCACCCAGGCAAAGGCCUGCCGGUGUCCUAAAAGCAGGACAUCACGAAUCACCUAAGCAGAAAAAAAGAGAGGAAAAAGAGAAGAGAUCCCAGAGGAAAGAAAGGUAAAGAGGGACAGAAGCAAGGAGGAAAUUCAAGGAGAGAGGAUGUGAAUCAGAAUGAGUUAACUCUGAAGGCCAAAGAGAGUAUCAAAACAUUUUUAUGUUGUAAAUGUUUCCGUUCACCCCCGGAGGAAUGUGAUUAAAAUGAGUCACUCCCAGUCUUAUGUGAGUAAUGGCCCUGCCUGUGUGUGUGCGCCUUGGGCAAGGAGAGGACAGGGACAGUUCACCCCAGGGACAGAUGUGGUAAAGCGAAAUGGAUUUGGGAAAUGGGAGAUAUGAAGUUUAAACUGUUCAGCCAGGGUAAAGGGAGGUGGUGCAAGGCAAUCUACAGGAUGUGAAUAGGGCAUCUGAUUUGGUUCACAGCCAACUGGUCAUGUGUUACAUGUUUUCGGAACAGAAAAUGUGCCUCUGGCACUGGCGCCGGUCCACAUGGGUCAGAAAGUUUGAGUGAGUAAGGAAAGGGUAUUUCUGAGAGGGCAUCCACAACAACUCCCCACAAAAAGAAAAUUCACACAAGAACUUUUUGAUCCUGACCUUGUGUACAAACUGCUCCACACGCGUUUGCAGGCCCCAGACUUCAAACUUGACUGUGACAAGUUUGUAGGAGCACAUGAUGGGGUCUUGGUUGUUGAUCCAUCCUUCCUGCAGGACGCCUCGGUUAGUCUUCUUUGACUUAAAAUACCGCAGGUCCUACAAGGUCACGAGACACCGAAAUCAGAAAAAAAAAAUCCUAUGUCAUUAUUUCUGCAUGAACAUGUCUGCAAAAAGACAAGACCAUAAAUCCUCUUAAAGGAUUACUUAACUGUUUUUCAACCAAUACCUAAUUAAAAUGUUGUCCCAUCAUUUAUCUCUCACACAUACACACAUACAUCCUGUUCCUAUAUGACAGGAUCACCUGCAUUCAUUACGAGACUCAUGCAGAGCAACAGCCAGGCUUCACAGCGUGAGCACCCAACCACAAACGUUUACAUGCAUCAGUCACUGCUCCCUAUAGACUAAUUAUGCUGUGGUAAUCAUUUGUUUUAGGGUCAUGCGUCUGGCUGUGAGUGUGUGCCGGGGUGAUACAAAACUCUCUACAUCCCAGCUGGGAAAGCACCUGCAGUGGAGGGCUGUUGCAUUUGUCCGCACAUAAAAUGUGCCAUAAAGUUUAUUGGCAGGAAAUGUGGGAAAAGAUGAGAAAUGCUCAAGAGAGCGUGUCCUUUUUAAAAUAUUGUCAGCAUGCCAACUUAUAUUUUACUUUGAUGGCUUCCAGAUUUGCUGAACCAUUUUCUCUGGAAUUAAUAUACUGGUGUUAAAAGUGAUAUUUCACUGUGAAAGAGCCUUUACAAAUAAAUACUGCAGUGUACCAGUGUAAAAACACACAAACAACCGGCUACAGUAACUUCUGACAUUCAUUAAAACAUGUUGUUUUUACAUUGCAGUUUUUGUACGAUUAAACAUACAAGAUAUAUGUUUAGUCUGUGAGCUUUAAACAUGCCACUAUAUAUAAUUUCUUUCCUUGGACAGAGCCAGACUGUUUUCCUCUGUUUCCAGUGUUUUUACUAAGCUAAGCCAACCAGCUGCUGGCUGUAUCUUCAUAUUUAGUGCACAGACAUGAGAGUGAUAUUGAUCUAGUCAAGUCAAUUUUAUUUAUAUAGCCCAAUAUCACAAAUCAGCCUCAAGGGGCUUUACAAUCUGUACCGCAUACGAGCCCAUCUAAUCCUUAAACCCCCGAUUAAGAUAAGGAACCCCCCCCCCCCAACAAACCUUUUAACAGGGAAAACAUGGAAGAAACCACAGAAAGACCAACAGAGGAGGGAUCCCUCUCCCAGGAUGGAUAUGUAUCAUGAUGACAAAGCUAUGACAAGAUUGUAACAUAUAUGAAUAAUGGUUCUGGGAAGAUAUCGAGCAUUUUCAGGUGUCGCCAAACAGAUGGGAUAUACUCAUCUACCUCUGGAAAUAAAAUUGUUCCCAAAAUGUGGAGCUAUUAUGCUGAUAUUGAUCAACAGAUGUCUUUCCUUUUUUUAAUUUGUAAAACACUUUGAGCUGUGUUUUGUGCACAAAAGGUCCUAAAUGAAUAAAAUUCAUGAUAUAAUUUUUAUUUACUUCUAUUUUUUCAUAAAUGAGUCAGUAAAGAGUAUGUUUGCAACCAUUGUCUUUUUGAGGUGUUGGACCUCGCUGUUAACUGUGGUUCAUUCAUGUAUGACACUGGUCUCUGUGCUGCAGGUAUGACUCUGGUGUAUGCAAAACCCAUUUGUCUUCUUCAUCAAUGAUAUUUACAUCGAUCACAUGACAUCCACCUUUAGCUCUGAGUGGAUGAAAGCGGAAGAUCAUAAAGCCUGGUGGGACGUGUGUAUAUUAGUGUGUGUGUGAGUGUAAGUGGAGGUGUCAAUAAUAAAACACCACUGCAAUGA